rnacentral:lncRNA from 1 species
GUUUGGGAGAUUAAUUGGACACGAUCAACAGGGAAAGCACUUGUGUUGUGUUUUUAUGAGAAUUAUGCCAAGAUAGGUAACAGAUGAGGAUGAAAUUUGGGCUUGACUGAAGUAAUGGAGGCUGUCUGUGAAACCUUGCAGCAGAACAACCCAGGAACCUGUGACUUCAAGAAGGGGACCCUUUUGGAAGGGAAGCACUGACUGAAGAAGACGUUCCCAUAGUCCUCCAGAAGAGACAAAGAACUCUGGAAACAGUGAGUAGCAGUCCUGAGCAACAUAGGAACUCUCCCAUCCCCAGGAUGGAAAUAUACAUGAUCAACUUAAGAGGAAGCAAGCGGUUGGGUCCUGCUGCAGAUAGGAAUUGUAUAGCAAUUGCCUAUUGACUCUGAUGUCUGAAACUGAGGCUUCAGUGUGGCAAAAAAGCCAGGAGGACUGAUAAGAGAGAAAAUGGAAGGAAGGGAAAGAAUGUAAUUAAGAACAUAGUUUAUCCCUGAUUUCAAUGGAAAUUAAGAAAAAAA